AGGCCAUGGUGUGGGCAAACUCGUUGGAGCUCUUUAUAGCUAUCCCAUGCCUCAUAUAGGGAUUCAUUUUCAUGUUGGGUAAACGAGGUUAUUUCUUUGAUAAGCCU
rfam:Jatropha curcas cultivar GZQX0401 scaffold421_29, whole genome shotgun sequence.